UGGCUCAGUGGUAGAGUGCUUGCCUUGCAUGCAUGAGGCCCUGGGUUCAAUUCUUAG
rnacentral:tRNA from 1 species